CCUACGGGUGGCAGCAGUCGAGAAUCAUUCACAAUGGGGGAAACCCUGAUGGUGCGACGCCGCGUGGGGGAAUGAAGGUCUUCGGAUUGUAAACCCCUGUCAUGUGGGAGCAAAUUAAAAAGAUAGUACCACAAGAGGAAGAGACGGCCAAAUCUGUGCCAGCAGCCGCGGUAAUACAGAGGUCCCAAGCGGUGUUCGGAAUCACUGGGCGUAAAGGGUGCGUAGGCGGUUUCGUAAGUCGUGUGUGAAAGGCGCGGGCUCAACCCGCGGACGGCACAUGAUACUGGGAGACUAGAGUAAUGGAGGGGGAACCGGAAUUCUAGGUGUAGCAGUGAAAUGCGUAGAUAUCGAGAGGAACACUCGUGGCGAAGGCGGGUUCCUGGACAUUAACUGACGCUGAGGCACGAAGGCCAGGGGAGCGAAAGGGAUUAGAUACCCCGGUAGUC
rnacentral:rRNA from 1 species